rnacentral:rRNA from 1 species
UACGUAGGGGGCUAGCGUUGUCCGGAAUCAUUGGGCGUAAAGCGCGCGUAGGCGGCCCGGUAAGUCCGCUGUAAAAGUCAAAGGCUCAACCUUUGAAUGUCAGUGGAUACUGCCGGGCUAGAGUCCGGAAGAGGCGAGUGGAACUCCUGGUGUAGCGGUGGAAUGCGCAGAUAUCAGGAAGAACACCGACGGCGAAGGCAGCUCGCUGGGACGGUACUGACGCUGAGGCGCGAAAGCGCGGGGAGCGAACAGG